GAUAAACGCUGGCGGCGUGCAUGAGACAUGCAAGUCGAACGAAGGAUCGGGCUUGCUCGAUCCUUAGUGGCGGACGGCUGAGUAACGCGUAGGUGACCUACCCCGAAGUGGGGAAUAACUGCCCGAAAGGGUGGCUAAUACCGCAUGUGGUCGCACGUUCAUUCGUGCGAGUAAAGCCGCAAGGCGCUUCGGGAGGGGCCUGCGUCCGAUUAGCUCGUUGGUGGGGUAAUGGCGUACCAAGGCGACGAUCGGUAGGUGGUCUGAGAGGACGAUCACCCAGACUGGGACUGAGACACGGCCCAGACUCCUACGGGAGGCAGCAGUCGGGAAUUUUGCUCAAUGGGGGAAACCCUGAAGCAGCAACGCCGCGUGAGGGAUGAAGGCCUUCGGGUUGUAAACCUCUUUUGUCAGGGACGAUGAUGACGGUACCUGGCGAAUAAGCCACGGCUAACUACGUG
rnacentral:rRNA from 1 species